AAAAAGGCCCUUAUCAGGGCCACCAAAAAGUACUUAUAUUCUGGCG
rfam:Acyrthosiphon pisum strain LSR1 Contig1000078, whole genome shotgun sequence.